AUGAGCGAUUUGAAGGUAAAGUGGGUUUUCCACAUCGUGGUGGCCUAUGAUGUUCUCUACUUCCUCUGUAACUAUAUCUGUGAAAUACUUCCUGCUUCUCACGACUUCGGAAGUGUUUCGAGAGUCCCGAUGGAGGUCAUAACCGGUAUCGUUCUAGGGGUGUUCAAGUUUUGCAAUUAUAAAAUCCCCCUCGAAGUCGUUCGGAAAUAAUCUAGGUGGCGUGGGAGCAAAGGGGUUCCCAACGGGAUUCCCCAGCGUUCGCCAGCUACCAUUGGGAACCCUUGCAUUCCUAGGAAUUCGUAGUCGAAGAUUGACCCAUACCUUGGGAUGUUUUGCAGAAAUGUCGACGGUCUCGCAGGGGUCGUUAAUCAGGUCAAACAGACAUUUGUUGGUGCACCUUACGAAUUGAUCGAAUGGUCGGCAAGAAAUUGUAGCCCUAUUCCGCA